GGGGGAUAACCUGGGGAAACCCAGGCUAAUACGGUUUACGCCCUACGGGAGAAAGCAGGGGCUCUUCGGACCUUGCGCUAUCGGAUGAGCCUAUGUCGGAUUACCUGGUUGGUGAGGUAAUGGCUCACCAAGGCGACGAUCCGUAGCUGGUCUGAGAGGAUGGGAAGCCACAUCGCCUAUGAGACACGGCCCGAACUCCUACGGGAGGCAGCAGUGGGGAAUAUUGGACAAUGGGCGCAAGCCUGAUCCAGCCAUGCCGCGUGUGUGAAGAAGGCCCUCGGGUUGUAAAGCACUUUCAGUGGGGAAGAACGCCUUCCGGCUAAUACCCGGGAGGAAAGACAUCACCCACAGAAGAAGCACCGGCUAACUCCGUGCCAGCAGCCGCGGUAAUACGGAGGGUGCGAGCGUUAAUCGGAAUUACUGGGCGUAAAGCGCGCGUAGGGGGCGUGAUAAGCCGGUUUGUGAAAGCCCCGGGCUCAACCUGGGAACGGCAUCCGGAACUGUCAGGCUAGAGUGCAGGAGAGGAAGGUAGAAUUCCCGGUGUAGCGGUGAAAUGCGUA
rnacentral:rRNA from 2 species